rnacentral:rRNA from 1 species
GUCUUAUUGUGAAUUAAAUAAAUAAUAAGUCGAUUCUGCCCAUUGAAAAAAAAAAAUUAAAAGGCUGCGGUAUUUUAACUGUACAAAGGUAGCAAAAUAAAUAGUUUUUUAAUUGAAAACUUGAAUGAAAGAGUUAAUAAGAUAUUAAUUGUCUCGAUUUUAUAAUAAUUAAUUUAAAUUAAAAGUUAAAAUGCUUUUAUAAAUUUAUUAGACGAUAAGACCCUAAGAAUUUAAUUAUAUAUUUUUAAUAUAAAUUAUAAUUAUAAUAUUAAAUAUUUAAUAAUUUUAUUGGGAGGAUAAUUAAAUUAUUUAACUUUAAUUGAUAAAAAAUAUUGAUAAAUAAAAAUAAUGAUUAAGAUAAAGAUUAUAAGAAUUAAUUACCUUAGGGAUAACAGCGUAAUAAUUUUGGAGAGUUCAUAUUGAUAAAAUUGUUUACGACCUCGAUGUUGAAUUAAAAUAAAAAUUAAAUGAAGAUAUUUAAAUUUUUAGUCUGUUCGACUAUUAAAAUUUUACAU